rnacentral:tRNA from 1 species
CAUGGGCAUCGGCAAGGGUGGCCGAUUGCGCUGCCACCACGAUGUCGGCGCACAUCGCCAGUUCGAGGCCACCGGCCAUGG